CCUACGGGGGGCAGCAGUGAGGAAUAUUGGUCAAUGGACGAGAGUCUGAACGAGCCAAGUAGCGUGAAGGAUGAAUGCCCUAUGGGUGGUAAACUUCUUUUAUAUGGGAAUAAAAUGUUCAACGUGUGGGAUUUUGUAUGUACAAUAUGAAUAAGGGACGGCUAACUCCGUGCCAGCAGCCGCGGUAAGACGGAGGAUCCGAGCGUUAUCCGGAUUUGUUGGGUUUAAAGGGAGCGUAGGUGGAUUGGUAAGUUAGUUGUGAAAGUUGGCGGGUCAACCGGAAAAAUGCAGUUGAAACUGGCAGUCGUGAGUACAGGAGAGGUGGGUGGAAUUCGUGGUGUAGCGGUGAAAUGCUUAGAUAUAACGAAGAACUCCGAUGGCGAAGGCAGCUCACUGGACUGCAACUGACACUGAGGCUCGAAAGUGUGGGGAGCAAACAGGAUUAGAUACCCUUGUAGUC
rnacentral:rRNA from 1 species